GACGAACGCUGGCGGCGUGCUUAACACAUGCAAGUCGAACGGAAAGGCCCUGCUUGCAGGGUACUCGAGUGGCGAACGGGUGAGUAACACGUGGGGGAUCUGCCCUGCACUUCGGGAUAAGCCUGGGAAACUGGGUCUAAUACCGGAUAGGAGCCAUUUUGAGUGUGGUGGUUGGAGAGUUUUUUCGGUGUAGGAUGAGCUCGCGGCCUAUCAGCUUGUUGGUGGGGUAAUGGUCUACCCAGGCGGCGACGGGUAGCCGGCCUGAGAGGGUGGACGGCCACAGUGGGACUGAGAUACGGCCCAGACUCCGACGGGAGGCAGCAGUGGGGAAGAGUGCAAAAUGGGCGCAAGCGUGAUGCAGCGACGCCGCGUGGGGGAUGACGGCGUUCGGGUUGUAAACUCAUUUCGCUAGGGACGAAGCUUUUUGUGACGGUACCUAGAGAAGAAGCACCGGCUAACUACGUG
rnacentral:rRNA from 1 species